ACAAGGGGGCCAAAACAGACUUCACAGCAGAAACAUCCAAACUUCUAGCUUUUGGCAAGACUAGCAAAGAAAGGGGAAUUUAACUAUCUGCCACUAUUAUAAGUGGCUACUCUUCAAUUGCCACUUUUACAAUUGCUCUUACGUAUUUUCCACCGGAGAGAGGUAAUUUUCUAAUUUUAUGUCAUUUUUGCUGAGAUGGCAUGACAGAUAAAGUAUGCCAGCAUGACACAAUAUGUGAAAAGUCUAUUAUGCCCCUAGGGUCAUCUUCUUCCUCCAGCUUCUCCUCCCAAUCUGCCGGACUGCUAGCAUCAGCAAUUAAUCAAGUAUCCAAUCCAAUCCUUUCCACACAUCAACGCCAUAGGUAAGUCAUUAUCUCCUCUUCUUGUUUCACUUGUCCAAUAUUACUGAAUAUAACAAUCUUUUUUCUUCGCCGUGGAUGUGUUUUGUCCGAAUGUUACUGCACAUAAAGUCCAGAACCUUGCAUCGUUCCAAUUGAUCAACAAAUCAAUCUCUUGAAAGAUAAAAACAUCAAGAACUCGAUUUAGCACAUCCAAUAUUUGUUUUACAUGCCAUAUUUGAGAAGCAAAGCAACGACAGGUGGUUGACAUCACAGUUACAUAUUACGAUGCUGGACAGGACAAUGAAAGUGAACCUGCUCUUCAUGAUGAACUUGCUCUGGACAGGACAAUGCUACGUCUUUCUAGGG
rnacentral:lncRNA from 1 species